rfam:Ictidomys tridecemlineatus contig005840, whole genome shotgun sequence.
ACUUAGGCCCUUUUGAGGGCCACAAACUAUUGAAACAUGGUAAGAU